rnacentral:lncRNA from 1 species
CUCCUACCCUCCACUUUCAGAGCUCUAGCCUGCAAGGGCCUCUGGUAUCCAUACCUGGCCAGCAAGACUUUAGAGUCCCAGGCCACCCCUAAGCAUUCCUUGGGGCCUGGCUCUCCAGGGCCAUGCAGCCCGCCUUCCUGUAGGCCUCAGGACACUUUUCCAGUGUUGCUGGGUAUACACUGGAUAAUCAUCACAGGCCCAAAUUUUGACUUGGUACCUUGGGAGGAACCAAUGUUUUCCCCUGUCGUCAUCAGCCUCCUGCCCCCCCAAUCACAGCAAACAGAAGUAUGCUACCGGCUCUAGAACACAUCAGCAAAGCUGGGCAUUGGUGGCACAUGAUUUUAAUGCCACCUCAGCACCUGGGAGGCAUGUGCCACCAACACCCAGCUGUGUGAAAGGGUUUUAAACUCAGCCCCUCACCGUCCCUGGGCAGAAUCUGCCCUGGCUUGUACCAAGGAGAUUGGGCAAGGUGAAGAGGCCAUUUUGUCUAUGAACCAUAAAACUAACAGAGUAUGGGUGGGCAAAUGGAUGGGUACAGUUUAGGGCUGGGCAUUCUUAGCCUAUCUAUCUAUGUCUUAGCUUGAGGUCUUGGACCAAUCACAAUCCUACCUUUUUUCUUCCUGAGGUCUUUGCAAGGUUGUUCGUCUUCCAGGAAUUCCCCAUCCCUGACCCUCAGCCUCCUUCUAUGCAGAGUGGAUUUCUUUUUUGUUUGUUUGAAACAGGAUCUGAAUUCUGAAUGUCUGGCCGGCAGCUCAGACAUUCUUCCUGCCUCAACCUCUUUACUGUUUUAUUUUUAUUUUGAGAGUGACAGAGACUCUCACCAUCUCACUGAUGCACUAGCUGAUCAGGAACUCAGUGUGUAGACCAGGCUGGUUUCACAAUCACAGAGAUCUUCCUGUCUCUGCCUCCUCAAUGCUGGGACUAACUCUGUGCCCCAGCACUCUAGCUAACAUUGAGAAGGCUGCACAGGGCAGAAAGAUCACAAGUUUAUGGGCUAUGUAGAGAGACCCCUUCCUAUAAAGGAGAGAAAGGAGAGAAAGGAGAGAGAGAGAGAGAGAGAGAGAGAGAGAGAGAGAGAGACAGAGAGACAGAGAGACAGAGACAGAGAGAAGAAAGGAGAAAAAUAUUUUAUUUGAUAAAAUAAAUAAGCCUUCCUCUACUUAGAAACAUAUGAGCCCUUCUGGCCAUCCAACUGUCAGCUUGGCCUAAGAGUCUCUCAGUUCCCCACUAUACAGUGGUUGAGAUGUUCUUUCUCCUCCAACAUCUGUUCUCUGUCAACCUAACUCCUGGAAUCUCCUUCCCAUUUUUAAAUUUUGGUUUGAGACAGUCUUUUGUUGUUGUUGUUGUUUUGGUUUUCCAGACAGGGUUUCUCUGUUUAACAACUCUGGCUUUCCUGGAAAUCACCAGGCUGGCCCCUGGAAUCUUUUAACUGAGAUCCACCUGCCUCUGCCUCCUGAGUGCUGGGAUUAAAGGUGUGUGCCAGGUUUGAGACAAGAGUCUUAUGUAGCCCAGGCUAGUGACUUGAAAUUGGGGCAGUCCUCCUACCUCUGUCUCCCAAGUGCUAGAGUCACCAAGUUACAAGACCCUCGUCAUCAUUCAAUGGCUCAGUGAAUCCAGGCUUGCUUCUGCCUCCUGUGCCACUCCUUAGAGGGGGGGUGAGGAGGUGAAGCUACACCAUAGGCUUUACCCACACAGCUUCUCAGAGAAGCUUGGAGCUGCAGUUGAGAAGGGUGUGCCAAUUAGAAUCUCUUGUGUUACAGUAACAGAAAAAGAACUGAGGAUGCUUGGUUUUAUAAUGAGAAGGGAAGGCACUGACUUGUGAAACUGAAGAGCCAAGAGAGAAUCCAAAAACUCUUUUCUCUGCUUUCC